AGUGAGUGUGGGCAGUCUACCAAUAUGACAUGGUUACUACCGAAAUUAGUAUGUGGAAUAAAUUGUAAAUGAAACACUAUAAAAUCGAAUUAUUAUUGCUGUUUCGACCCGUAUUGUUAUAAAUAAAAGCAAAUGAAGGUUCUAACGCUUAUGAUUAUGAACACUCGCAUUUAGUCAUGAUUGUAAAUACCCUAAACUUCGCUUUACACCGAACUAUGUGUAUUUCAACUAUACAGAUAGCCCUUUUUGAUAUGUACUAAAAUAAUAUAGGAAUUCUUUCAAUUUGAUAUAUAUCCUUUAAAACGUUAACUAUCUAUUUAUUUUGCACCAAUUGAUUAAUUGCUAUGAACGAAAAAUCCUAGGAAAGCAGAUGUCCGCCUGAAACACGCUAGCAAACCAUUUUAAUCAUAUGUGACAAUUACAGGUCGUUAAUCAGACUUUUAGACUCCUUCAACUUUAAAAGCUUCUUAACAACCUCUUCAACUGCAACAGUAGAUCCCUUGCUUUGCUUCUUAGGAUCGUCACGGUUGCGAACAUUGACACUGUUUGUCGACUCUUCUUCAGCACCAACGACAAAAAUAAAAUUAUAUUGGGCAAGUUGAGCAUUGCGAAUCUUUUUAGGCAAGGUGUUGUCAGACUUGUCAGUAUCAACGAAAAUAUCAGCUUCAGAAAGAAUAUUAUGAACUUUGUCAGCAUAAUUGUAUGCAGCAGCAGAAACAGGAAUAAUACAAACUUGUCUAGGAGACAUCCAGAAAGGCCAUUUACCAGCAUAAUGCUCGGUAAGAAUUGCAAUCAUACGUUCCAAACUACCCAAAAUAGCACGAUGAACCAUGACAGGACGAGUAUAUUUGUUGUUGUUACCGGACUCCUUAGCUUCUUCAGCACUGGCAGGAGCGUGAAACUCAAGCUGGAAACGCUCAGGUAACUGAAAAUCAAGUUGAAUGGUAGCACAUUGAUGCUGACGCUUCAAUGCAUCGAAAACAGUGAUAUCUAUUUUAGGACCGUAAAAAGCACCGUCACCUGCAUUCAACUCCCAUUUAUAACCUGAAGCAUCUAAGGCCGCCUUCAAUUGAGCUUCUGCUUUGUCCCAAGUAGCUAGGUCACCUAAAUAUUUUUCCUCCGGGCGUGUAGACAACUCUAAAUGGAAAGUAAAACCAAACGUGCCGUAAACUUCUUUCAAAAAAUCAAAACAUCCUUCAAUCUCAGAACGAACUUGAUCAGGAGUACAAAAAAUAUGGGCAUCAUCUUGUUGAAAACGACGUACACGCGUCAAGCCACUAAGAGCACCAGAAAAUUCAUUUCUGUGCAAGACACCAAAGUCAGCAACUCGCCAUGGAAGAUCACGAUAGCUACGGUCACGACUCUUGAACAUAACGCAAUGUCCAGGACAAUUCAUGGGCUUCAAAGCAUACUUUUCUUUUUCGAUAUCAAAAGAAAACAUGUUUUCAGAAUAAUUAUUCCAAUGACCAGAAGUUUUCCAAAGGUUCACAUUGUACAUGUUAGGAGUAAUGACCUCUUGAUAUCCGCGUUUAGAGUAUUGAUAACGCAUGUAUUUUAACAACGUAUUGUAGAUACGAGCUCCAUGAGGAAGGAAAAAGCAACUGCCAGGUGAAAUUUCAUUAAAAAAGAACAAUUCUUGAUCUCGUCCAAUUUUACGGUGAUCGCGUUUGGCUGCCUCUGCCAAAAAUGUUUUAUAUUCCUGCAUUUGUUUAUUAUCAGGGAAACUGAUACCAUAAACACGCUGAAGAGAAUCAUUUUUAGCAUCACCAAGAAAAUAGGAAGAAGAGUUCUUGGUAACGGCAAAAGAUUUGAUACGACCAGUAUGAGGGACGUGAGGUCCGGUACAAAGGUCGAUAAGCGGACCACAUCGAUAGACAGUAGUAGAGGCACCGUCGGGAAUUUUGGUUUGAAUAAUGUACUGUU